UACAUAGGAUGCAAGCGUUAUCCGGAUUUACUGGGCGUAAAACGAGCGCAGGCGGGUUAACAAGUUUGGUAUGAAAGGCUUUUGCUUAACGAAAGUUUGUAUCAAAAACUGUUAAUCUAGAGUGUAGUAGAGAGUUCUGGAAUUCCAUGUGGAGCGGUGGAAUGCGUAGAUAUAUGGAAGAACACCAGUGGCGAAGGCGGCCGCCUGGCCUGUUACUGACGCUGAGGCACGAAAGCGUGGGGAGCAAAUAGG
rnacentral:rRNA from 1 species